CUUUUGCAUUUCAAUUUACACAGAUGAUCAAUGAUCUAGUAACGAUUUCUUGAAGCUCAGAAAAUUAGAAGUUUAUACAGUCCAUUAUAUACUGGUACUGAGUAUAUAUCUCAAUUCUACUUUCCUAUUAUAAAUAUCCUUACAUGUUGGAACGCUCUUAUUUUCAACGCUGCCUUCCUUUUUCCUUCCAUUUGGUGCAUGUUUUAUACAUCCCCCUCCCUGCCAUACUUACUUUAUUGACACAAUGACCUGCGCUCAGAGGAUCUCAUCCUCAUAUUUCCAGCUUCUAUAAUUUUGGUUCAAAAGCUACCAUCAUUUUAUACUGAUCCCACAAAUUACUUACGAGUCCAUAUUUUCCUACGAAGGACGGCUCUUUUAAUCCAACGUGCCCUUCGCCUUAAAAUCGUCCAUUUUACUCUAAUUUGCCCGUGCCAUGCCCGCACUUAGGGGUCUAAUGGUACUAGAGCUUUGGAUCGGUUGAAGGAUUUUUAAGUUGAAACCAUUUUCAGAUGUUUCUUACUACGUUAUGCCAAUGUCAUAAUGGCUAACUCGCCUGCUACUGCGUACAUUAUUGUGGAGUGAUCUCAUCCACAAGUGGAUAGAGAAAAAAAUUUUAUUAAGACACUUUUCAAAAUGUUUGUUCAUUUUCAUUUUCAUUUACUUUUUUCAAAAAAAAAAAAGAUUCAACUUGAAUUAUAGACUUUUGUCAUUUCAAUUCUUGAAGCGCG
rnacentral:sRNA from 1 species